rnacentral:rRNA from 1 species
AUUGAACGCUGGCGGCAUGCCUUACACAUGCAAGUCGAACGGCAGCACGGGAGCAAUCCUGGUGGCGAGUGGCGAACGGGUGAGUAAAGUAUCGGAACGUGCCCAGUCGUGGGGGAUAACGUAGCGAAAGUUACGCUAAUACCGCAUACGAUCUAUGGAUGAAAGCGGGGGAUCGCAAGACCUCGCGCGAUUGGAGCGGCCGAUAUCAGAUUAGGUAGUUGGUGGGGUAAAGGCUCACCAAGCCGACGAUCUGUAGCUGGUCUGAGAGGACGACCAGCCACACUGGGACUGAGACACGGCCCAGACUCCUACGGGAGGCAGCAGUGGGGAAUCUUGCGCAAUGGGCGAAAGCCUGACGCAGCAACGCCGCGUGGAGGACGAAGUCCCUAGGGAUGUAAACUUCUUUUAAGGGGGAAGAAAUGGUCUGUAAAGACAGUUGACGGUACCUCUUGAAUAAGCACCGGCUAACUCCGUGCCAGCCGCCGCGGUAA